rnacentral:SRP_RNA from 1 species
GCCGGGCAUGGUGGCACGCGCCUGUAGUCCCAGCUACUCGGGAGGCUGAGGCAGGAGAAUCGCUUGAACCCGGAAGGCUGGGGGUGCAGUGAGCCGAGAUCGCGCCACUGCACUCCAGCCUGGGCGACAGAGCGAGACUCUGUCUCAA